rnacentral:rRNA from 1 species
CUCAGGACGAACGCUGGCGGCGUGCCUAAUACAUGCAAGACGAACGCUUUGAUUUUCACCGGAGCUUGCUCCACCGAAAAUCAAAGAGUGGCGGACGGGUGAGUAACACGUGGGCAACCUGCCCAACAGAGGGGGAUAACACUUGGAAACAGGUGCUAAUACCGCAUAAUUUGUUUUUCCGCAUGGAAGAAUAAUAAAAGACGCUUCGGUGUCACUGUUGGAUGGGCCCGCGCUGCAUUAGUUAGUUGGUGGGGUAACGGCCUACCAAGACCAUGAUGCAUAGCCGACCUGAGAGGGUGAUCGGCCACACUGGGACUGAGACACGGCCCAGACUCCUACGGGAGGCAGCAGUAGGGAAUCUUCGGCAAUGGACGAAAGUCUGACCGAGCAACGCCGCGUGAGUGAAGAAGGUUUUCGGAUCGUAAAACUCUGUUGUUAGAGAAGAACAAGUGAGAGAGUUACUGUUCUCACCUUGACGGUAUCUAACCAGAAAGCCACGGCUAACUACGUGCCAGCAGCCGCGGUAAUACGUAGGUGGCAAGCGUUGUCCGGAUUUAUUGGGCGUAAAGCGAGCGCAGGCGGUUUCUUAAGUCUGAUGUGAAAGCCCUCGGCUCAACCGAGGAAGGUCAUUGGAAACUGGGGAACUUGAGUGCAGAAGAGGAGAGUGGAAUUCCAUGUGUAGCGGUGAAAUGCGUAGAUAUAUGGAGGAACACCAGUGGCGAAGGCGACUCUCUGGUCUGUAACUGACGCUGAGGCUCGAAAGCGUGGGGAGCAAACAGGAUUAG